rnacentral:lncRNA from 1 species
AUCUAAAGACAAAAGGUGCCACAACAAGGAUAUAGAGUUAUCAUUCUACAUCUUGUAUGGGGUUGCUUUUUGUUCUUUUCUUUAAUUCAUUAUUGUUAUCUUCUAAAUGAAAGCCUUUUGGAUUAAACUUUGUUCCUCAAUCAAGCAGGAAUAGAAUCUUGAAGUUGUUGUGGUGUUGAUUUGAGUUUCUACCACGCUUCCGGUCAUUAAAGUUUGCAGGGUUUUCUUUGGUCAUUAAAUUCUCAUAGUUAAUGUUAUCAGUGAUUAAUGCUUCUGAUUGCUGCAAUUUUUAUCGGCAAAUGUUUUCUUUUUCGGUUACAGUCUGAGAUUACUUGUGUAUUUAUCAAAUAAGUUGAACACAGUGUUAUUUGGACUAAUUCAUUAAGCUUUUACUGUAGGUAUAAUGUUGGAUUUAGAGAAUAACAUGAAUUCAGAGAAUGACAUUGUGGAUGAUGAAGAGAUCAUCGACAACUUUGUUUCUCUUCAUAAGGAAUUGCUACUUGCUGAAGGAAAAUUGUUCAGAUUCUGGGCACCCCUGUAUUCCCUUGAUGAUCUAUGUUUUAAUUUUUAAAGUAUCUUUUGUGAAGAUGAUGAAUGGAGAUUUGAAAACUGA